ACGGGAGGCAGCAGUAAGGAAUAUUGGUCAAUGGAGGGAACUCUGAACCAGCCAUGCCGCGUGCAGGAAGACAGCCCUCUGGGUCGUAAACUGCUUUUAUUCGGGAAUAAACCUCAUUACGUGUAGUGAGCUGAAUGUACCGAAGGAAUAAGGAUCGGCUAACUCCGUGCCAGCAGCCGCGGUAAUACGGAGGAUCCAAGCGUUAUCCGGAUUUAUUGGGUUUAAAGGGUGCGUAGGCGGCUUAUUAAGUCAGGGGUGAAAGACGGUGGCUCAACCAUCGCAGUGCCCUUGAUACUGAUGAGCUUGAAUACACUAGAGGUAGGCGGAAUGUGACAAGUAGCGGUGAAAUGCAUAGAUAUGUCACAGAACACCGAUUGCGAAGGCAGCUUACUAUGGUGUGAUUGACGCUGAGGCACGAAAGCGUGGGGAUCAAACAGGAUUAGAUACCCUGGUAGUCCACGCCCUAAACGAUGAAUACUCGCUGUUAGCGAUAUACAGUUAGCGGCUAAGCGAAAGCGUUAAGUAUUCCACCUGGGGAGUACGCCCGCAAGGGUGAAACUCAAAGGAAUUGACGGGGGCCCGCACAAGCGGAGGAGCAUGUGGUUUAAUUCGAUGAUACGCGAGGAACCUUACCCGGGCUUGAAAGUUAGUGAAUAAUCAAGAGAUUGAUUAGUGAGCAAUCACACGAAACUAGGUGCUGCAUGGCUGUCGUCAGCUCGUGCCGUGAGGUGUUGGGUUAAGUCCCGCAACGAGCGCAACCCCUAUGUUUAGUUGCCAGCACGUUAAGGUGGGGACUCUAAACAGACUGCCUGUGCAAACAGAGAGGAAGGAGGGGACGACGUCAAGUCAUCAUGGCCCUUACGUCCGGGGCUACACACGUGCUACAAUGGAUGGUACAGAGGGCAGCAAGCUGGCAACAGCAAGCGAAUCUCAAAAAGCCAUUCACAGUUCGGAUAGAGGUCUGCAACUCGACCUCUUGAAGUUGGAUUCGCUAGUAAUCGCGUAUCAGCAAUGACGCGGUGAAUACGUUCCCGGGCCUUGUACACACCGCCCA
rnacentral:rRNA from 1 species